GCUGCCGACGUCGCUGCGGACAAAGCCGAUAAGCGGCUUAACAUCCGCGCGGGGGCCUGGACAAAAAUUGGACGUGGAAUAGACACAGGGAGAGAUGUCUCCCCCUCAUCCUGGACAUGCUCCACAGCCCUAAUCCCAGGCGCUUUGUCCGGUGUCUGGAGGCCACAGAAGGAAGAAGGAGGAAGGACCGAAGGGAAGCGUAGCACAUGCACCCAUGCACCUUAAGGAGGCACAGACGUGUCUCCUCCCUUAUGGCUGCUCCUUCUGGGGCUAAGGGUUAAGGCAGAUUGAUGGGCACGAGGAGUGGAAACCAUGUCGCCACAUGCCACCUGCUACCAGCCACAUGCGCCACAUGGCUGAGUCUGACAUUUUUGGGGCUCAGGGCGGGUUAAGUGCGUGCUGGCCAACAAGUGGACGACAACGACGACGACGACACUCUGGCGGACAGAUCGCUUGAGGAAAUUAAACGAAAACCCGGCUGCUACAAAGGAGUGCCGCUCCUGCACCCCCCUCUGGCGUAGUCCCCGCUGACAGCCAACACCCAACAGCCGCGUGUGCGACAUGAGAGGGGAGUGUGUGCCCCCUGAGAGGAGAGGUUUAAUCCCCCACCUUUAGGAUGUGUAUGUGUGUCGUCGGACUGUCACUUUGUGUCUCUCUCUCUCCCUCUCUCUCUCUCUCUCUCGCUCUGUGUUAAGUGUUUCGCGUUCGCGAGUGAAAUGAAAAUCCAAGAGCGGAAAAUGCCCCGCAAAACGAGACAGAAUUUAUACGGAGGAAAAACACAAAACAGAAUGUGCGCCAAAGGAUUGGAAAUGCAAAUGGAAAUGUGUGAAAUAUACUGAUAAUAUUUGGGAUCCAGAGACAGAGACCAGUUCCAGUUCCAGAGCCUGCUUCUAUGGGCGUAACCUUCCCACGAAACCGCAGACGCGGCAGAUACUCUGCUGCAGAAUGAUGGGGUAAGUAAUCAUUGAAUUU